ACUCAAAUGAAUUGACGGGGACUCGCACAAGCAGAGGAUCAUGUGGUUUAAUUCGAUGGUAAACGAAGAACCUUACCAGGGUUUGAAACCUAGUUGAAGACAUUAAGAAACUUUUGUCGUCGCAAGACAGCUAGGCAGGUGAUGCAUGGCCGUCGUCAGUUCGUGGUUUGAAUUGUUCCCUUAAGUGGGGUAACGAACGCAACCCUCGUUGUCUGUUAUAUAUGUCAGACGAGACUGCCCCCACAUCAGAAAAUAAAUGAAAAUUUGUUUCUUGAUGUGGGGGAGGAAGGCGAGGAUGACGCCAGGUCAGCAUGUCCCUUUGAUACCCUGGGCUACACACGUGAUACAAUGGCACAUACAACGCGAUGCGACGUAGUAAUACUGAGCUAAUCGUAAGAAAGUGUGCCUAAGUUCGGAUUGAAGUCUGCAACUCGACUUCAUGAAGCUGGAUUUGCUAGUAAUCACAGGUCAGCCAUACUGUGGUGAAUACGUUCUCGAGUCUUGUACACACCGCCCGU
rnacentral:rRNA from 1 species